rnacentral:rRNA from 1 species
ACUCCUACGGGAGGCAGCAGUGGGGAAUAUUGCACAAUGGGCGCAAGCCUGAUGCAGCCAUGCCGCGUGUGUGAAGAAGGCCUUCGGGUUGUAAAGCACUUUCAGUCGUGAGGAAGGUAGUGUAGUUAAUAGCUGCAUUAUUUGACGUUAGCGACAGAAGAAGCACCGGCUAACUCCGUGCCAGCAGCCGCGGUAAUACGGAGGGUGCGAGCGUUAAUCGGAAUUACUGGGCGUAAAGCGCAUGCAGGUGGUUGUUAAGUCAGAUGUGAAAGCCCGGGGCUCAACCUCGGAAUUGCAUUUGAAACUGGCAGACUAGAGUACUGUAGAGGGGGUAGAAUUUCAGGUGUAGCGGUGAAAUGCGUAGAGAUCUGAAGGAAUACCGGUGGCGAAGGCGGCCCCUGGACAGAUACUGACACUCAGAUGCGAAAGCGUGGGAGCAAACAGGAUUAGAUACCCCUGGUAGCGACUGA